rnacentral:rRNA from 1 species
GGUGAACGCUGGCGGCGUGCUUAACACAUGCAAGUCGAACGAACUUAUUAGGGCUUGCUCUAAUAAGUUAGUGGCAGACGGGUGAGUAAUACAUAGGAAUCUACCCAGCAGUACGGAAUAACUUUUGGAAACGAAAGAUAAUACCGUAUACAGCUGAGAAGUGAAAGAUUUAUCGCUGUUGGAUGAGCCUAUGCAGGAUUAGCUAGUUGGUGGGAUAAAAGCUUACCAAGCCGACGAUCUGUAGCUGGUCUGAGAGGACGAUCAGCCACACUGGGACUGAGACACGGCCCAGACUCCUACGGGAGGCAGCAGUGGGGAAUUUUGGACAAUGGGCGAAAGCCUGAUCCAGCAAUGCCGCGUGCAGGAUGAAGGCCUUCGGGUUGUAACCUGCUUUUGUACGGAACGAAAAGCCCCGGGUUAAUACCCUGGGGUCAUGACGGUACCGUAAGAAUAAGCACCGGCUAUCUACGUGCCAGCCGCCGCCGUAA